UAGAGUUUGAUCCUGGCUCAGGACGAACGCUGGCGGCGUGCCUAAUACAUGCAAGUCGAGCGGAUCUUGUUAAGUAGCUUGCUACUUAACUUGGUUAGCGGCGGACGGGUGAGUAACACGUAGGCAACCUGCCCUCAAGACCGGGAUAACAUUCGGAAACGAAUGCUAAGACCGGAUACGCGUGACGCCCGCAUGGGCGUUUCGGGAAACACGGAGCAAUCUGUGGCUUGUGGAUGGGCCUGCGGCGCAUUAGCUAGUUGGUGGGGUAACGGCUCACCAAGGCGACGAUGCGUAGCCGACCUGAGAGGGUGAACGGCCACACUGGGACUGAGACACGGCCCAGACUCCUACGGGAGGCAGCAGUAGGGAAUCUUCCACAAUGGGCGAAAGCCUGAUGGAGCAACGCCGCGUGAGUGAGGAAGGCCUUCGGGUCGUAAAGCUCUGUUGCCAGGGAAGAAUAAGGGCUAGUUAACUGCUAGUCCGAUGACGGUACCUGAGAAGAAAGCCCCGGCUAACUGCGUGCCAGCAGCCCCGGUCAA
rnacentral:rRNA from 1 species